rnacentral:rRNA from 1 species
CCUACGGGAGGCAGCAGUGGGGAAUAUUGGGCAAUGGGCGCAAGCCUGACCCAGCAACGCCGCGUGAAGGAAGAAGGCUUUCGGGUUGUAAACUUCUUUUCUGAGGGACGAAGAAAGUGACGGUACCUCAGGAAUAAGCCACGGCUAACUACGUGCCAGCAGCCGCGGUAAUACGUAGGUGGCAAGCGUUAUCCGGAUUUAUUGGGUGUAAAGGGCGUGUAGGCGGGAAAGCAAGUCAGAUGUGAAAACUCAGGGCUCAACCCUGAGCCUGCAUUUGAAACUGUUUUUCUUGAGUGCUGGAGAGGCAAUCGGAAUUCCAGGUGUAGGAGUGAAAUCCGUAGAUAUCUGGAGGAACAUCAGUGGCGAAGGCGACUAUCUGGCACAUAACUGACGCUGAGGAGCGAAAGCGUGGGUAGCAAACAGGAUUAGAUACCCUAGUAGUC